CUCCAGGUUCUGAGAAGAUGGCGAAGGUCUCAGAGCUUUACGAUGUCACUUGGGAAGAAAUGCGAGAUAAAAUGAGAAAAUGGAGAGAAGAAAACUCACGAAACAGUGAGCAAAUUGUGGAAGUUGGAGAGGAAUUAAUUAAUGAAUAUGCUUCUAAGCUUGGAGAUGAUAUUUGGAUCAUAUAUGAGCAAGUGAUGAUUGCAGCCCUAGACUAUGGUCGAGAUGACUUGGCAUUGUUUUGUCUUCAGGAGUUAAGAAGACAGUUCCCUGGCAGUCACAGAGUCAAGAGACUAACUGGCAUGAGAUUUGAAGCCAUGGAAAGAUAUGAUGAUGCUAUACAACUAGAUGAUAGAAUUUUACAAGAAGAUCCAACUAACACUGCUGCAAGAAAGCGUAAGAUUGCCAUUCGAAAAGCCCAGGGGAAAAAUGUGGAGGCCAUUCGGGAACUGAAUGAGUAUCUGGAACAAUUUGUUGGGGACCAAGAAGCUUGGCAUGAACUUGCAGAACUUUAUAUCAAUGAACAUGACUAUGCUAAAGCAGCCUUUUGUUUAGAGGAGCUAAUGAUGACUAAUCCACAUAACCACUUACACUGUCAGCAGUAUGCUGAAGUUAAAUAUACCCAAGGUGGACUUGAAAACCUCGAACUUUCAAGAAAGUAUUUUGCUCAGGCACUGAAACUGAACAACAGAAAUAUGAGAGCUUUGUUUGGGCUUUACAUAUUGCUUCUAAUCCAAAAGCAAGUGCAAAAACAAAAAAGGACAACAUGAAAUAUGCUAGUUGAGCAGCUAGUCAAAUAAACAGAGCUUAUCAGUUUGCAGGUCGAAGUAAGAAGGAAACCAAAUACUCUCUUAAGGCAGUGGAAGACAUGUUGGAAACACUGCAGAUCACCCAGUCUUAAGGUUUCAAACUCUUUCACAUUACAUUUCACAACUGCACAAUU